rnacentral:rRNA from 1 species
AGCAGCAGCCACGGUAACACGGAGGGUGCAAGCGUUAAUCGGAAUCACUGGGCGUAAAGCGCACGCAGGCGGUUUGUUAAGUCAGAUGUGAAAUCCCCGAGCUUAACUUGGGAACUGCAUUUGAAACUGGCAAGCUAGAGUCUUGUAGAGGGGGGUAGAAUUCCAGGUGUAGCGGUGAAAUGCGUAGAGAUCUGGAGGAAUACCGGUGGCGAAGGCGGCCCCCUGGACAAAGACUGACGCUCAGGUGCGAAAGCGUGGGGAGCAAACAGGAUUAGAUACCCCGGUAGUCCCUGUCUCUUAUAC